AUUGAACGCUGGCGGCAGGCCUAACACAUGCAAGUCGAGCGGAGCGGCGGACGGGUAAGUAAUGCCUAGGAAUCUGCCUGGUAGUGGGGGAUAACGUCCGGGAAGGGGCGCUAAUACCGCAUGCUAGCAAAGGGCCCUCGGGGGGAUUAGCUAGUUGGUGGGGUAAAGGCCUACCAAGGCGACGAUGCGUAACUGGUCUGAGAGGAUGAUCAGUCACACUGGAACUGAGACACGGCCCAGACUCCUACGGGAGGCAGCAGUGGGGAAUCUUGGACAAUGGACGAAAGUCUGACCGAGCAACGCCGCGUGUGUGAAGAAGGUUUUCGGAUCGUAAAGCACUGUUGUUAGAGAAGCGGUACCUAAACAAAAAGCACCGGCUAACUACGUGCCAGCAGCCGCGGUAAUUC
rnacentral:rRNA from 1 species